AACGAACGCUGGCGGCAGGCUUAACACAUGCAAGUCGAACGCACCUUUCGGGGUGAGUGGCAGACGGGUGAGUAACGCGUGGGAAUCUACCCUUCUCUACGGGAUAGCUCCGGGAAACUGGAAUUAAUACCGUAUACGUCCUGAGGGAGAAAGAUUUAUCGGGGAAGGAUGAGCCCGCGUUGGAUUAGCUAGUUGGUGGGGUAAAGGCCUGCCAAGGCGACGAUCCAUAGCUGGUCUAAGAGGAUGAUCAGCCACAUUGGGACUGAGACACGGCCCAAACUCCUACGGGAGGCAGCAGUGGGGAAUAUUGGACAAUGGGCGCAAGCCUGAUCCAGCCAUGCCGCGUGAGUGAUGAAGGCCCUAGGGUUGUAAAGCUCUUUCAGUGGGGACGAUAAUGACGGUACCCACAGAAGAAGCCCCGGCUAACUUCGUG
rnacentral:rRNA from 1 species